UGGAGCAUGUGGUUAAUUCGAAGCAACGCGAAGACCUUACAGGUCUUGACAUCCCUGACAACCCAAGAGAUUGGGCGUCCCCUUCGGGGGACAGGGUGACAGGUGGUGCAUGGGUUGUCGUCAGCUCGUGUCGUGAGAUGUUGGGUUAAGUCCCGCAACGAGCGCAACCCUCGCCUCUAGUUGCCAGCAUUCGGUUGGGCACUCUAGAGGGACUGCCGGCGACAAGUCGGAGGAAGGUGGGAUGACGUCAAAUCAUCAUGCCCCUUAUGACCUGGGCUACACACGUGCUACAAUGGGCGGUACAAAGGGCUGCGAACCCGCGAGGGGGAGCGAAUCCCAAAAAGCCGCUCUCAGUUCGGAUUGCAGGCUGCAACUCGCCUGCAUGAAGCCGGAAUCGCUAGUAAUCGCGGAUCAGCAUGCCGCGGUGAAUACGUUCCCGGGCCUU
rnacentral:rRNA from 1 species